AUUAGUUAGUUGGUGAGGUAAUGGCUCACCAAGACGAUGAUAGGUAGCCGGCCUGAGAGGGUGAACGGCCACAAGGGGACUGAGAUACGGCCCUUACUCUUACGGGAGGCAGCAGUGGGGAAUAUUGGACAAUGGAGGAAACUCUGAUCCAGCAAUUCUGUGUGCACGAUGAAGGUUUUCGGAUCGUAAAGUGCUUUCAGUAGGGAAGAAGAAAGUGACGGUACCUACAGAAGAAGCGACGGCUAAAUACGUGCCAGCAGCCGCGGUAAUACGUAUGUCGCAAGCGUUAUCCGGAAUUAUUGGGCGUAAAGGGCAUCUAGGCGGUCAAUCAAGUCGAAGGUGAAAACUUGUGGCUCAACCAUAAGCUUGCCUACGAAACUGAUUAACUAGAGUACUGGAGAGGUGGACGGAACUACACGAGUAGAGGUGAAAUUCGUAGAUAUGUGUAGGAAUGCCGAUGAUGAAGAUAGUUCACUGGACAGAAACUGACGCUGAAGUGCGAAAGCUAGGGGAGCAAACAGGAUUAGAUACCCUGGUAGUCCUAGCUGU
rnacentral:rRNA from 1 species